rnacentral:tRNA from 1 species
CGCGGAAUAGAGCAGUUGGAAGCUCGCUUGGCUCAUAACCAAGAGGUCGGUGGUUCGAGUCCAUCUUCCGCAA